rnacentral:ncRNA from 1 species
UUUUCCGGGAGAUCGCCGCUGCGGGCGGCAGCCGAAGGGGCAAGCAGCACAUGCUGUGAAACUUUCAGGUAAAAGGACUGGAA